AAAUAUAGGAAAAUUGAAAAAGGGGUUAGGGUUAAAAGAGAGAGUUGUUCUCUUCUUCUUCGCAGAACAACACGAACGGCGCCGACAGACACAGCCUUCUCCGCUUCUUCAGACAACUCGGCGGCGCGGCGGACUCCGCUUCCACGUCUCCGAUCUCCAGCGGCCAUGGUUUCAUUCUCGCAUCCUUCUCCUAGGCCGACGUUCUUCUACUUCGCGUCGCGGUCCUCUUUCCUCUUCUCCUCUCGUGAUUGCAGUGGACGGCUUUUCUUUCACCUUAACACCGCCACGACCUUAAAACCUUCCGCCUCCGCUCACAUUCACAUGCGUUCUACUCAUGGCAACGUUUCUGUGAGAUGA